rnacentral:rRNA from 1 species
GCAGAGCAUCCUACGGGAGGCAGCAUGGGGAAUAUUGCACAAUGGGCGCAAGCCUGAUGCAGCCAUGCCGCGUGUAUGAAGAAGGCCUUCGGGUUGUAAAGUACUUUCAGCAGUGAGGAAGGUGGAUAUGUUAAUAGCAUAUUCAUUUGACGUUAGCUGCAGAAGAAGCACCGGCUAACUCCGUGCCAGCAGCCGCGGUAAUACGGAGGGUGCGAGCGUUAAUCGGAAUUACUGGGCGUAAAGCGCAUGCAGGUGGUUUGUUAAGUCAGAUGUGAAAGCCCGGGGCUCAACCUCGGAAUUGCAUUUGAAACUGGCAAACUAGAGUACUGUAGAGGGGGUAGAAUUUCAGGUGUAGCGGUGAAAUGCGUAGAGAUCUGAAGGAAUACCGGUGGCGAAGGCGGCCCCCUGGACAGAUACUGACACUCAGAUGCGAAAGCGUGGGGAGCAAACAGGAUUAGAUACCCUGGUAG